rnacentral:rRNA from 1 species
UUUGCAUCGAUGAGAACGCAGCGAAACGCGAUAGGUAAUGUGAAUUGCAGAAUUCCGUGAAUCAUCGAAUCUUUGAACGCACCUUGCGCUCCAUGGUAUUCCGUGGAGCAUGCCUGUUUGAGUGCCGCGAAUUCUCCCUCCCCUUACGGUGGCCGAAAGGCCGAAGUAGGGCGGACGGGGUAGGAUGGGUGUUGCUGCCUGGGGAUUGUACCAGGCUCGCCCGAAAUGCAUAAGCGCCAGGACCCUCGCUACCGCUCUCUAGGGAAGAGUGGCUAAGCGACCGCUGAGCAUGGCAUGAUACGUCAUUUGCUGUGUGUGGGCGGCCGGUUGGAGAGGUGUCUGCUUUACCAGCCCUUUUUUAAUUCUGGUCUCAAAUCAGGUAGGAUCACCCGCUGAACUUAAGCAUAUCAAUAAGCGGAGGAA